AAGUUCAGUUAGGAAUAAAGUUGUUGUUACUGGAACAACUAGAACUAAUUAUUUUCUCAUCUUCUAUUUGAUUUCACUAGUUUCUGGAAAAUAGUUUAUAUUUUUGGUCUUUGAAUUAAUCCAAAUUAGAAUUUGAAAUCACUUUGUAUCUGGUUUAUUGUUUCCUUUAGUCAUUAGAGUUUUUGGAAGACAUAGAUUAAUAAAAUCUGACUUGAGAAGAGUCAAGAACCAAGUAGGAAACAUAUGCAGUUUUAAAGUUGAAUUUAGAAAACCUUCACUCAUCCUUUAAAGCCUUGUUGAAAGUGUGAUUUCUUUUAUUUAACACUUUAGAAAGUCUAUUUUCAGUAUUGAAAGUUUUCCACAAAUUGGAGUUGUAGAAAGUACAUUAAAACUGAAGAGGUUAGCACACAGUAGCAGUUUCUGCAGAAAAACGUGGGACUGUAGCUGAACUUUAAAAAUUCAUAACAAAUUCUAGGAAAAUUGUUUUCAGAUGAUUCAAAUUCCGAAAGUUUCUUUAGGAUGUCAGCUACAAAUCGUUAGAAUACCAUGAAAGCAGAUUUUAAACAGAUUUGUACAGUUUUUAACAUUAAGGAACUUGUUUUCAUCCGGAUACUUAACGUGAAAAUCAAUCGAGGUGACAAAUAAAUAAGUUUGAAGUUAUUUUACUGCAAGGGUGUUUUUAAUAAUGUAAUAUACAUGUGUGUUAUUGUUAAUCAUGUUUGGGUCCUAGACAAGAACUUGGAUUAUAG